rnacentral:lncRNA from 1 species
ACACCCUAGUCUAAAAUACUAAAUUUGAUUAACAAAUAUCGGAAAGCUGUAGAAGUAAUUGAAGUCUUAUACUUUAUAGAGCUUUAUGCAUAUAUAUGUAUAUGUAUGUAUGUAUGUAUGUAUAUAUAUAUAUAUUCCUCAGUUAACCUUAUUGGGGUGACCUAGUAUUAUGUAUGUUUAGCAUAUCAGCAGCUAUUGAACAUUUGCAGAAAUACUGUUAGGGAUGGACAGUGGAGUCUGUCUGCUAUCCUCUUUCAAAAUGCAGAUAGCUUUUCUAGAGCUUUAGCUAGGUCAUCCUAACACAAAGUAGGAGAGGUAUUACUCUAGAAAUACAGAGACACUGAGCUCAUAGAGCAGCAGCACUCAACAGGUAGCGCCUAACAGGGAGGGAGCGCCAAUCUUUUGACAUCAGACAUGACAUUGCUGUCUACAGAGUUCACACCUUACAACUUUAAAAUCAAACUACACACACCCACCACUCUCACCAAAUCACCCCCCCACACACACACACACCACAGAAUCCUCAAGAUAUUUUAAAUAAGUUCACAGGAUUUCAUAUUGUAUAAUAGUCAUAGCUAUUCACUCAAGGCCACAGAUUAUAUAUGAGAACUUUAAAUUUUCUUUGAUAGGAGAUCCCAUCAAUAAUAUACCAACCCAUCAAUAAUAUACCAACCUUAAAAAAUUCAACUUAACCGCCAGGUGUGGUGGUGCACGCCUUUAAUCCCAGCACUCAGGAGGCAGAGGCAGGCGGAUUUCUGAGUUCGAGGCCAGCCUGGUCUACAAAGUGAGUUCCAGGACAGCCAGGACUACACAGAGAAACCCUGUCUCGAAAAACAAAAACAAAACAAAAAAAAAAUUCAACUUAAAAAAUGAAAAAGGUAUUUGUAAUUAGGAGUGGUUUCAAGGGUAUUCAAACAAGUAUUUCAGGCCCAAAACAUAGGAGAGUAAAGGGCACACACACACACACACACACACACACACACACACAAACACACACACUACAUAUAGGGGUUAGAGAAAUGCCUCAGAAGUUAAGAGCAUUUACUGUACUUGCAAAGGACCUGAAUUCUGCAUGCAUAUGGCAGGCAGCUCACAACCAUCUACUAUUUCCGGUCUAGGGAUCUAAUGCCUCUUGUGAAGACCCCACAGCCUCCUAUGCAUAUGUGAUACACACACACACACACACACAGGCCCACACACACAUAAAAUAUUUUUUAAAGAUAGUUGUUUCAGAGAAAAUGUGUAGGCAAGUCUUUAUUUCAUGAAGUCAUUUUUUUUUCCUUAAAGAUUUAUUUAUAUGAAUACACUGUAGCUGUCUUCAGACAUACCUAAAGAGGGCAUCAGAUCCCAUUGCAGAUGGUUGUGAGCCACCAUGUGGUUGCUGGGAAUUGAACUCAGGACCUCUGGAAGAGUAGUCAAUGUUCUUAACCACUGAGCCAUCUCUCCAGCCCCCAUGGAAUUGUUUCCUUUUAGUUUUUGAGAGGCUAGGUCUUGCUACUGCCCAGACUGCCCUCAAGCUCCUGGGCUCAGCCUCCCUCCCAAGUAUCUUCAGGCAUAGGCUACUGCUUCUGUAUUUUUUAAAUAUAGCUUUUAUGAAUUAAAUAAUCCGUUUAGUAAGUAAAUAAAAAUUAAAUAAUUAUAGCAUUGUAUUAGAAACUAGUGAUACUAGCCAAAUUAACAAGAAUCUCCAGUUGUAUCUGUUUAAAUUUAAAGAUGUAAAGACAGUUGUGCAAUAGUACAAAAAUCUAAGAGGAACCUGAAGCAAAGAUGUCUGUCUAGGGCUGGAGAGAUGGCUCAGAGGUUAAGAAUGCUGAUUGCUCUUUUGGAGGUCCUGAAUUCCCAGCAACCACAUGGUGGCUCUCAACCAUCUGUGAUGGGAUCCAAUGUUCUCUUCUGAUCAUUCUGAAGAUGGUGAUGGUAUACUCACUGCAUAAAAUCAGUAAAUCUUUAAAAUAAAAAAAGAUGUCUGUCAAGUCAGUGGUAUUUGCUGAAAAUUGUUUGUGUCUGAUACUGUUGACUGCUCUCUUUGUUUAACAUAGACCACAAAGUUUAAGGUUUAAGCAAUUGAGAUUUCUUUAGGUGGUUGAUAUUUUGAUUAAAAAUAAAGACACUAAAGUUACUGACAACGGCAAAUGGUAAUUCUAGCGGAACUUAGUAAGUAUUAAGCUUCUCACUGAGACUGGCAUUCAGCUACUGCUGCCAUCUCAAGGCUGAGUGACAAACAAACUGGCAGUGGGAAUGUGACAUUAGGACCUUAACCUGCCUAGCAUAGGUAAGGGAAUGAGAGCGCCAACCUCACAAAAGCCAUAGUCUCUUUCUUAGGAUUAACUCAAGGCUAAGGAUGUUUAUUGCCCUCGUUUGUUAUUCUCCCAAAGGGUUUCUGGCUAAAUGUCACCAUUGUGCAUUCUGUCAGAUAAGCUGUGGUGUGGGUGGCCCUCCUUAGCUUUUCAGUUUUAUUUGUCUCGUGUUCUCCAUUGUUUAUUAUUUUCCUGACCACACAGACCUUUCCCUGCACGUGUAUUCUUUCUUCGUGGUGAGCUUUUCUGUAUUUAGUGUGGCUCAGUUCUCUUUGUUUUCUACCUUAAAUGUCACCUCAGAAACCAAUGUCAUGGUACAUGUCUUUAAUCCCUGCACUUGGGAGAUCAAGACCAGCCUCGUCUACAUAGUAAGUUGGGACAUCCAAUGCUACAGAGAGAGACCCUGUCUC